GACUCAUCACUGCGGCCCCCUUUGAGAGGAGGCCAUCCCUUCUCCAGAAGUUACGGGACUAUUUUGCUGAGUUCCUCAAAGAGAGUUACCCUCGCACCCCUAGAGAAAAAAUAAUUGAUGUAGCGCGCUCAAUUCUAACCAUUGCUGGAAAUUUUUGAAAGUGAACAACAAACUCUGAUAAGAAGCCCACAUGGAAGAAAUAGUAAGAAGCAACUCAAAGAUCAAAUGUUCUCCAUCGCACAUAAAAAUCGAACGUCAAUUUUAUUCAAUAGUGUACCAAGUCUCUGUAUACAGAAAAUAAUAAAAUUGUUCACGGGGUUCAAUAACUUGCUCUUCUUCUCAUGAUUUAACAGCAAUCAAUGCUGCUCAACUUCCAAGCACAGAGGAAAUUACAGCAUAACAGAAUCGUCAUUAAAUCUUUAGAAACAGUAGUAAAAUAAAUAAGAUAUUUCAAUAAGUUGAAAUGAUAUAGCUGCAAAAAUAGUAUAACCUAUACAUAUAACGACAACAAUAAUGGUAAGAUUUAGACAGAGUGCAAUGUAUCUAUAAAUGGUAAUCUGACAAAAAUACUCACUGGAUUUGGUUAGAAUUCCCAAGUAGGGAGACGAGUGAAUGGAAGGUGCUGUAAGCAGUCCUGAAUACUAGUUCCAUCGAGAACAACCCUCUGGCAGGAAGGUUCCCUUCACUGAACUCUUCAAACCUUUCCAAUAAUUGGAGCUGGCUCGUCAAGUGCCCUCUUUCCUUAUAUCCAGACAAUCUCACUCAGAUUCAUCGUCUUUCCCAGUGUGGAGACUACACUGCAUUUUUCUUGUUCCUGAAGUUCUCUUUCAGCAUUGCAAACUUCUUCUUACACUGAUUAACAGUUUUUCCAGGAACUGCAGCAGCUACUCGUUCCCACCUCUGGUUAGUUUCCUUUGGGAAUGUUUUGAGAGAUUGGACCAAAGCUUUUUCCUGAAGAUCAGACCAAAUAUCCUGAUCAGAACUUGAAGAAACCCCAUUUCCGGUAUUGCUUUCAUCCCUUUUUUGACCAUUCUCAAUGGGACUGGAAGAUGGAUCUGAACCGUCCGACUGACAACUAUUCUUCUCUAGCACAUUGCUGUUCCUAAAGUUAUCUUUCAUCAACAUAAAUUUCUUCUUACAUUGGCUGACAGUUUUCCCGGGAACUGCGGCUGAAAUUCUUGUGACUUUGUAGAGACCUAUGUUUUUGAUAAAACAGUCACUCGGGACUCAUCACUGCGGCCCCCUUUGAGAGGAGGCCAUCCCUUCUCCAGAAGUUACGGGACUAUUUUGCUGAGUUCCUCAAAGAGAGUUACCCUCGCACCCCUAGAGAAAAAAUAAUUGAUGUAGCGCGCUCAAUUCUAACCAUUGCUGGAAAUUUUUGAAAGUGAACAACAAACUCUGAUAAGAAGCCCACAUGGAAGAAAUAGUAAGAAGCAACUCAAAGAUCAAAUGUUCUCCAUCGCACAUAAAAAUCGAACGUCAAUUUUAUUCAAUAGUGUACCAAGUCUCUGUAUACAGAAAAUAAUAAAAUUGUUCACGGGGUUCAAUAACUUGCUCUUCUUCUCAUGAUUUAACAGCAAUCAAUGCUGCUCAACUUCCAAGCACAGAGGAAAUUACAGCAUAACAGAAUCGUCAUUAAAUCUUUAGAAACAGUAGUAAAAUAAAUAAGAUAUUUCAAUAAGUUGAAAUGAUAUAGCUGCAAAAAUAGUAUAACCUAUACAUAUAACGACAACAAUAAUGGUAAGAUUUAGACAGAGUGCAAUGUAUCUAUAAAUGGUAAUCUGACAAAAAUACUCACUGGAUUUGGUUAGAAUUCCCAAGUAGGGAGACGAGUGAAUGGAAGGUGCUGUAAGCAGUCCUGAAUACUAGUUCCAUCGAGAACAACCCUCUGGCAGGAAGGUUCCCUUCACUGAACUCUUCAAACCUUUCCAAUAAUUGGAGCUGGCUCGUCAAGUGCCCUCUUUCCUUAUAUCCAGACAAUCUCACUCAGAUUCAUCGUCUUUCCCAGUGUGGAGACUACACUGCAUUUUUCUUGUUCCUGAAGUUC
rnacentral:lncRNA from 1 species